GAUGAACGCUAGCUGGAGGCUUAAUACAUGCAAGUCGAGCGGGAUUGGUAGCAAUACCAUGAGAGCGGCGCACGGGUGAGUAACGCGUACACGACCUACCUCUGACAGGGGAUAGCCCUGGGAAACUGGGAUUAAUACCGCAUAUUAUUCUGAUUAAUAAAGGAUUGGAAUGAAAGUUCAGGCGGUCAGAGAUGGGUGUGCGUCUGAUUAGCUAGUUGGUAGGUAACGGCCUACCAAGGCGAUGAUCAGUAGGGGCUGAGAGCGUGGUCCCCCAACGGGUACUGAGACACGGACCCGACUCCUACGGGAGGCAGCAGUAAGGAAUAUUGGACAAUGGCCGAAAGGCUGAUCCAGCCAUCCAGCGUGCAGGAAGAAGGCCCUAUGGGUUGUAAACUGCUUUUAUCAGGGAAUAAACCUCUGGAUUCACUCCGGAGCUGAAGGUACCUGAAGAAUAAGCACCGGCUAACUCCGUGCCAGCAG
rnacentral:rRNA from 1 species